rnacentral:rRNA from 1 species
CAGUCGCCGCGGGAAUACGAAGGGUGCAAGCGUUAAUCGGAAUUACUGGGCGUAAAGCGUGCGUAGGCGGUGAGUUAAGUCUGCUGUGAAAUCCCCGGGCUCAACCUGGGAAUGGCAAUGGAUACUGGCAAGCUAGAGUGUGUCAGAGGAUGGUGGAAUUCCCGGUGUAGCGGUGAAAUGCGUAGAGAUGUGGAGGAACACCGAUGGCGAAGGCAGCCCCCUGGGCCAAUACUGACGCUCAUGCACGAAAGCGUGGGGAGCAAACAGGAUUAGAUACCCCUGUAGUCCCUGUCUCUUAUAC